GGAAACCCUAAUUUUUUGUUAUUCUUUUUCUUUCUCCUUACAACACAAAGCUGCCACCCACAACUUUUUCCUCUCCAUCUUACCCAAACACAACUCAUACCCAUUUUCACCCUUUCUUCUCAAUUUUCCUUCACCCAUCAGCACUCCAAACAACCAAAUCCACUGUCACUUCCUUUCCUUGCCAAGUUCCUCCAUUAAUGGAGAACUCCGAGCUCCCUCUUCUCUGGAAAAAUCCCAGAUCUGCAGUGAGUUUCAACUUGAAGCAACCAAUAGAAGCAGCUCAAACUCGGCAAAGUCAAGCUAAACAACAAGGCUUCUAUGGCGAAACUCCAAGCUCCAACCACGAGAUAACACCAUCGAUCUCCCUUCAGCUUUGUUUGGCGACUCUGCUGGAGAAUACAAUCCAGGUUUUAACCAUGAUAGACUCAAUUUUUUCAAUUGAGGGAGUGUGGCAGCAUUUGGAGGCCACUCAUAAGGGAAAAACUCUGGUUUCAUGAGUUGGAGCAUGCCUGGUCAGUUUUUUGUUCGAGCACUAGCUACUGAUUUUGAUUCGAACCAGUUGCGAUUGUGAUCGGAGGCAAGGGUGAGCAUAUAGAGUCCUAGAUUUACCUGUCUCCUUUUGUAUAUACAUUUUGUCUGUCUUUUUCUUUUUGAGAUAACUUUAUUUCCAUUGUCCACUUUUUGGACUUGUACUCUUUUACUAGAAGCUCUAUAUAGGUGACUUCCAGGUUCUGGGAGGGAUUCUUUUUGAUUUGUAUAUAUUUAGUUGCUUCCGCCCAUUAAUGUAUGCUCCUGUUAUUUUCCUUACUGUUUUAGAUUAGAUUGCUGGUUUUCUACCCUGAUAUCCUAUUAUUUGCUUACUAGUAGGUCAUAGUAGGUGUCAUCAUGAACUGAGAAAUCGGAUCAUGACAAAUACGCUCUCCAAAGUUCUACUAAGAGCACAAAUCAACUAUUCUCUCAAAUUCAAAUCACUCUGACAUCAGUGUCAAUAUUGGUCUUACAUUCAAAUCAUCUCUUCGAGUUUGUCAAUAUUUAGUAAAUAUCUUAAUUUUUUGUCUUACAUUUAUUCUAAAGAUGAAUUUUUUUCUACACAUAUAUUUUCUAUUGUAUUUUCACUAACUAUACGUAAGCAGUCCUUUUUGGGUUUAGUAUUCCUCAUUAGAAAAGAGAAAAAAAAGUUUGUACAUAUAUUUAGUUUGUAUCUUUACGAACCAAGCGAAUCUAAUUCUCAUCUCGAUGAGAUACGUAGGAAAUCCUUCUUGGGUUCGGUACUCUUUACCCAAAAAAAAUAUUGUUUGCUUGCUUAGAAUCUUAUACUAUAGUCACCUGAACUAUGCAGACCUGAUUUUUGUUUUCUACAAGAUACGUAGGCAACCGUCAUUUGGGUUCGGUCCCAUUUUUUUCAAAAAAAGAAACAAAUGAAUCAAAUUCUGAACUUGGUUGGUACCAACAUAGCUAGGAAUGUGCAUGACGAAGAAAUAUUUGGUAUAAUAGAGAGGAUCAACUUCAUGGUAAACCAUAUAUUCUUUUGGUACCUCUUAAUUGCGCCUUAGUGACACUUAAGAGAAUUCUCUUGUAUACAUCUAAUUCCAGAACGAAAUCUACCUCAUUGUUUCAUGUGUAUUUGUGUGGCGAGCCUUAGAUUAAUUAAUUAUAUUACAACGUUGAUCUAGAACUUGGCCUAAAUGUCUAUUGAGGCAGAAUUAUGAGUAAUGUUUGAUUUGAAAAAUGAUUGUAGGCCUUCUUUGACCCGUUUGUUCCUUUCAAAGCCUACCAAAUGACAUUAAUCCUUAGCAUGUCCCACUUUGAGCCUAAGCCUUUUCUUUGGACAACCACAUUUUAGCCUAUAUGCUUUCUGAGUGCUUAUAUGCACUAUCUAUCUCUUGAUCUAACCUUUUUGAGCGAACUGAAGAUGUGUGUGUUACAAAAAAAGAUUCAAGGUUCAAAGUUGACAAAGACAAAAUUUAAAAAGUCCUACAAAGUUUAGGAUGCAAAUGACUUCAAAAAAAACAAAGUUAAAAAUUUUCCACAAGUUCAAGCAGGCAAAAUUGCAACAAAAGAAGAAAAAUACUCCAAACAAACAAGAGAAACUUCAAAAAAUAAUGAGAAGGAAAAAGCUCAAACAAGUUAAGCUUUAACAAAAGUCCAAAAGUAUACAGGAAAUGGACAACAAUGAGGAUCAAGCGUUGAAUGCAUAAAAACUUUGAAAGCACAAAUUCAGUGCAAUGCUCAAGAAGGAAUUAAGUCACUUUUAUCCCAAAUGACUAUCCUACCAUUUCCUAAGCCUACAUUAAAAGCCAAUAACAAGCCCUACAAGAUUUUAUUUCAAAUGUUCUCACAUUAGUGGAGAUUUACAUGAAGGCCAAGCUUAUAGUAUCACAAUUGCAUGCAUGAAUAUCUUUCUGAGCAUGAGCGUACUUUCCAAAAUGUCCUAAAAUUAAAAUAUUCAAAUAUGUGAAAAUUAUGACUUUCUUUGUGGUGAGGGCAUUUGAAACAUGAGGGACAGAUAUUGUUCGAAAGUUUGUUUUGAAACAAGACGAACAAAUCGUGCCGACACUCAAGUAUAUUUGAGGUACCACUUGAAAAUAUAGGAAUUACUUUGAUGUUGAUCUCAGUUAGCUGAGAAAAGAUGGUGGAAUUCUUAUGCACAAUACUAAUUAUUGGUACCAAUUGAAGUCAAUGUGUGAUUUUGUAUUUUUUGACUUUUCAACAUUUCUUACAAAAACAAACACAAAAAAAUGGAAAUAAAAAAAAUAAUUCAUAUUUUUUGCCUUCAGAUACGGCUAUUUUAAAUUCAAAUACAUGCGUUCACCUUCUAAUACGGGUAUUUCAAUACAUUUUACAGAUACCCACCUUCUAAUACGGGUAUAUCAAUACAUUCCACAGGCACUCACCUUCUAAUACGGGUAUUUCAAUACACUCCACAGGCACCCACCUUCUAAUACGGGUAUUUAAGUACAUUUUAUAGGCACUCACCUUCUAAUAUGGGUAUUUCAAUACAUCUCAUAAGUGUCCACCUUCUAAUACGGGUAUUUCAGUAUAUUUUACAGGCACCCACCUUCUAAUACGGAUAUUUCAAUACAUUCCACAGGGUCCACCUUCUAAUAUGGGUAUUUCAGUAUAUUUUACAGGCACCCACCUUGUAAUACGAGUAUUUCAAUAUACUCCACAGGCACCCACCUUCUAAUAUCGGUAUUUCAAUACAUUCCACAGACGCCCACCUUUUAAUACGAUAUUUCAAUACAUUUUACAGGCACCACCUUCUAAUACGGUUAUUUUAAUACAUUCCACAGAUGUCUACCUUCUAAUACGGGUAUUUUAGUAUAUUUUAUUGGCACUCACCUUCUAAUGUGAGUAUUUCCGUAUAUAUUUACAUGCACUUACCUUCUAAUGCGGGUAUUUUAGUACAUUUUUACAUGCACCUACCUUUUAACGCAUGUAUCCACACUCUAGUGAGUGUUUUUCAAUAAAUUUUAUAAGCACCCAUCGUUUAAUAUGGGUACUUUACCUUUUAAGUACAUUUUACAGCCUUUUACAUUAAAUGCUUGCCUCGCUAAUCGGAGGCCAUUUACUGUGACGACCCCCUCUCUAGGCCCAUAUAUUCAGGUAUUGUAUCUUCCUGGGUCAAGUAGUUCAUCCCUUCCUUCACCCUAUAGGGCUUCGUGGGAAUUGAAUCCAAAACCUCAGGCUCAUUUACAUCCACUCUCAGGGGAUCACCUUUCACUAGUUGAGCUGCAUGUCACGCCUCGGAAGGGUACCUUAGGCGUGGUCGGCACUCGAAGACCAUUGCUUGUCCGCAAGUGAACCACCUGGUUCAAUCACACAUCCAUUCAUUCAUUCACUCAGCGGAAGACUCAAUACAAUUUAAAAGGUAUUCAAGUGGUCUAACCAAAUCAACAUUUCAAGGAGAAUAAUGUAUUUAAAACAAACCUCAAAUCAACUCUAUAUCAUAAGGAUAGUUUUGAAAACCAAAACAUUACUCGACACUAUCAUCUAUCUGUCUAUGAAGCCUCUAAUACUAUCCAGAAGGUGCCAAUGACAAGUCCAUAGUUACCCAAAAAGGAAUACUCAAAGAAAAUAUAACUAAUCCAGAGUGACUCCGGAUGCAAGGAGGACACACCAAAUCUGAGAAUGGGAGUGAUCAUUAAUGAUGCACCUUUUGAGGAUAUUUAACACUUGUAUCUGCAUCAUCAAAUGAUGCAGGCCAAAUGGCGUCAGUAAGUGGAAUGUAUGAGUAUGUAAAAUGGCAGGAAAGAGAAACAUUCAACAAAUACUUAUCUCAAGCUCAUCAAUCAAUUCAAAGGAUAUGCAAAAAUUUAGAUUUUAGCAAAUGUUUCUCAAAUCGACUCAAUCAUCUACAAUCUCUAUCUAAUAAUCUUAUCAUGCAAGAUCAUAUUCUAAUUGAGAGUUUUUCUAACCGACAACCAUCACUUAUGAGUCGGUGAUGUACAACAAAGCGGUGUCGUUGCCACACCCAUCCAAUAUCUUGCCAGAGUAAAUCCCGAAUCACUAUCAUUGGAUCCAUAAUCAAUGAAAGUCAAUCAUUUUAGGACUUAAGAGGUUUAACCCUCCAUCUUAUGCUAGAGACAUAGUUUAUGGGAAUUGAGUUAUAAUUACACUCUUAUCCAUAUCAGUGCUCAAUACUCCUUCCAAGACUCAAUAUGCUCAUAAGACUCAAAUUAAUCAGUUUAUACAAAUCAAUCCAUCUAGUCACAUUGGAAUCUAAUCAACUCAAUCAUCACUUCUUUCACUUAUACAUUCUUUUCAAGACUCAUUCAUGACUCAUCAGAACUCCAAUCAACAAUCAUUAUUACUUCUACUAUCCAAUUCAAGUUCGACUCAUGCUCAUUCAACAUUCACCAAUCAAACUUUUAGACUCAAUCAUUAUGUAAUACAUUAAAAGUUAAUACUCAAAUAGGUUUUAAGUGUUUAAUUCAUGAACACUAUCAAUCAUGUGAAUUUAUGCAAAAAUAUUCUAGGAUUUAAAGAGAUCUUUAAAAGAUUCGUUCGUAGAAGACCUAUGUCACUUACUACUCAACUAAUCAUAUACUUAGGGGCAUAUGGAAGAACUUAAACCAUGUUUUAGUUAGCCUUACAUACAUGUACACGAAGAUCAAUUAAGAACUCAAAGACCCUUCUUAAAGAACUUGAACCUUGGCAUUUCUCCUCUUCUCAAAUCCUUGCUCUCAGAUAAUCUAUGUGUUAAUGAGAGGGUUAUGCAUUUACGGUACUAUUAAAGGACUUAAUUUAGUCCUAAAUGUUAUACCCCAUACUUUUGUAUCUUGAAACGUAUUCUUAAGCUUUUUAAGAUUCUUAAGCUUCUUAAGCUUUUUAAGUUUCGUGAAAGGUUCGUAAGCUUCUUAGAAGUUAUCAUGUGAGCUGGAUAAUCUAUAACGCUAUCAAACAACUCUAAGGAAGGGAGAAUGUGACAACCCAUAGUAGGGAAGAUUGGAAAUAUGGUUAUAAGAAUUCGAAAGGAGUUGGAGGCCAAGUAAUGAGUCAUAGGACUCAACUUACUUACGUAAGAUACCAACUUAAAAAUCUUACAUUUUGAAGCUACUUGAGUCAUACCAAGCUUAUGUAGCAAGAAUUACGUAGGUUCGUAAAAUAAGACUAGAUUACAAAUCCAUGAGGAGGAAAAGAAAGUGACACA